rnacentral:rRNA from 1 species
UAAAAAUUAUAAAAUUAAGUAGUAAAGAAUUUUCUGAAACUUAAAGAAUUUGGCGGUAUUUUAACUAAUUGGAGGAACCUGUUAUUUAAUUGACAUUACACAUUUAAUUUUUCCCAAAAUUUGUUUGUAUAUCGUUGUUUUCAGAUAAUAUUUUAAAAUUAUUAUCGAUAUUAAUUUAAUUUUAUAAAUCAAAUCAAGGUGCAGCAUUUUUGGGUAUUAAUGGGUUACAAUAUAUUUAAUAUACUACGAAUUAAAUAUUAAAAUAUAAUGAAGGUGGAUUCAAAAGUAAUUUAAAAUUAAAUAGUUUUUUUGAUUUAUGAUUUAAAAUAUGC